rnacentral:rRNA from 1 species
AACGAACGCUGGCGGCGUGCCUAACACAUGCAAGUCGAGCGAGAAAGCCCGCAAGGGUGAGUACAGCGGCGCACGGGUGCGUAACACGUGGGUAAUCUGCCCUGGAGCCCGGAAUAACUCCCCGAAAGGGGUGCUAAUGCCGGAUGAGCCCACGGGAACUCCGGUUCCCGAGGGAAAAGGUGGCCUCUGCAUGCAAGCUAUCACUUCAGGGUGAGCCCGCGGCCCAUCAGCUAGUUGGCGGGGUAAUGGCCCACCAAGGCUACGACGGGUAGCUGGUCUGAGAGGACGAUCAGCCACACUGGAACUGAGACACGGUCCAGACUCCUACGGGAGGCAGCAGUGGGGAAUCUUGCGCAAUGGGCGAAAGCCUGACGCAGCAACGCCGCGUGUGUGAUGAAGGUCUUCGGAUCGUAAAGCGCUGUCGGGAGGGACGAAUAAGCCGGCCGCUAAUAUCGGCCGGUGAUGACGGUACCUCCAGAGGAAGCACCGGCUAACU